rnacentral:rRNA from 1 species
AGUGAACGCUGGCGGUAGGCCUAACACAUGCAAGUCGAACGGCAGCACAGAGGAGCUUGCUCCUUGGGUGGCGAGUGGCGGACGGGUGAGGAAUACAUCGGAAUCUACUCUGUCGUGGGGGAGAACGUAGGGAAACUUACGCUAAUACCGCAUACGACCUACGGGUGAAAGCAGGGGACCUUCGGGCCUUGCGCGAUUGAAUGAGCCGAUGUCGGAUUAGCUAGUUGGCGGGGUAAAGGCCCACCAAGGCGACGAUCCGUAGCUGGUCUGAGAGGAUGAUCAGCCACACUGGAACUGAGACACGGUCCAGACUCCUACGGGAGGCAGCAGUGGGGAAUAUUGGACAGUGGGCGCAAGCCUGAUCCAGCCAUACCGCGUGGGUGAAGAAGGCCUUCGGGUUGUAAAGCCCUUUUGUUGGGAAAGAAAUCCAGCUGGCUAAUACCCGGUUGGGAUGACGGUACCCAAAGAAUAAGCACCGGCUAACUUCGUGCCAGCAGCCGCGGUAA